AAGAGUGUUGACGGAUCGAAAGAUGAAGAUGGAGCGAGCGGGUAAGCGUCUGUUGCGGAAGGAUAAUAAACUAUGAGGGUGUCAGGAGUGACUUCCCGGUUCUCGAAAAUGGCGGUAGAGAAGAUCGUGCUGGCAGGUGUCAGGGCGUCGUAAACGCAAAAGCGGCUUAUCCAUAGUUCCCUAGUGUGCGGGGGUAGGCAGGGUUUAUUACCAAUGCACACAUACA
rnacentral:ncRNA from 1 species